UGCCUGUAAGACUGGGAUAACUCCGGGAAACCGGGGCUAAUACCGGAUGGUUGUUUGAACCGCAUGGUUCAAACAUAAAAGGUGGCUUCGGCUACCACUUACAGAUGGACCCGCGGCGCAUUAGCUAGUUGGUGAGGUAACGGCUCACCAAGGCAACGAUGCGUAGCCGACCUGAGAGGGUGAUCGGCCACACUGGGACUGAGACACGGCCCAGACUCCUACGGGAGGCAGCAGUAGGGAAUCUUCCGCAAUGGACGAAAGUCUGACGGAGCAACGCCGCGUGAGUGAUGAAGGUUUUCGGAUCGUAAAGCUCUGUUGUUAGGGAAGAACAAGUACCGUUCGAAUAGGGCGGUACCUUGACGGUACCUAACCAGAAAGCCACGGCUAACUACGUGCCAGCAGCCGCGGUAAUACGUAGGUGGCAAGCGUUGUCCGGAAUUAUUGGGCGUAAAGGGCUC
rnacentral:rRNA from 1 species